rnacentral:rRNA from 1 species
AUUGAACGCUGGCGGCAGGCCUAACACAUGCAAGUCGAGCGGAUGAAGGGAGCUUGCUCCUGGAUUCAGCGGCGGACGGGUGAGUAAUGCCUAGGAAUCUGCCUGGUAGUGGGGGAUAACGUCCGGAAACGGGCGCUAAUACCGCAUACGUCCUGAGGGAGAAAGUGGGGGAUCUUCGGACCUCACGCUAUCAGAUGAGCCUAGGUCGGAUUAGCUAGUUGGUGGGGUAAAGGCCUACCAAGGCGACGAUCCGUAACUGGUCUGAGAGGAUGAUCAGUCACACUGGAACUGAGACACGGACCAGACUACUAAGAGACGCAGCAGACGGGAAUAUGGGACAACGGUCGAAAGCAUGAUCCAGUCAUGGCGAGUGUGUUAAGAAGGUCUUCGGAUUGUAAAGAACUUUAAGUUGGGAGGAAGGGCAGUAAGUUAAUACCUUGCUGUAUUGACGUUAACAACAGAAUAAGCACCGGCUAACUUCGUG